CGCAGCUAUCUGCAGUCGAGGGGCAGCAGGGGUAGCAAUACUCGCUGGCGACCGGCAAACGGGUGCGGAACACGUACGCAACCUUCCUUCAAGCGGGAGAUAGCCCGGAGAAAUCCGGAUUAAUAUCCCAUAGGAUUGUGGAUCGGCAUCGAUCAGCAAUUAAAGAUUUAUCACUUGAAGAUGGGCGUGCGUCUGAUUAGGUAGUUGGUGAGGUAACGGCUCACCAAGCCGACGAUCAGUAACUGGCGUGAGAGCGCGACCAGUCACACGGGCACUGAGACACGGGCCCGACUCCUACGGGAGGCAGCAGUAAGGAAUAUUGGUCGAUGGACGCAAGUCUGAACCAGCCAUGCCGCGUGGAGGAUGAAGGUCCUCUGGAUUGUAAACUUCUUUUAUCUGGGAAGAAAUGGUUGCUUUCUAGCGAUCUUGACGGUACCAGAUGAAUAAGCACCGGCUAACUCCGUGCCAGCAGCCGCGGUAAUACGGAGGGUGCAAGCGUUAUCCGGAUUCACUGGGUUUAAAGGGUGCGUAGGCGGAACAGAAAGUCCGUUGUGAAAUCUCCGAGCUUAACUCGGAAAUUGCGGUGGAUACUAUUGUUCUUGAAUAUUGUUGAGGUUAGCGGAAUAUGUCAUGUAGCGGUGAAAUGCAUAGAUAUGACAUAGAACACCAAUUGCGAAGGCAGCUGGCUAAACAAAUAUUGACGCUGAGGCACGAAAGCGUGGGGAUCAAACAGGAUUAGAUACCCUGGUAGUCCACGCCCUAAACGAUGAUUACUCGACAUUUGCGAUACACAGCAAGUGUCUGAGCGAAAGCAUUAAGUAAUCCACCUGGGAAGUACGACCGCAAGGUU
rnacentral:rRNA from 1 species